rnacentral:lncRNA from 10 species
GCAGAUUCAUAUCAGACCCAAGGCAACUCAGCUGUGAUUGAGAUAGACAUUGAGUCUUUUGGGAGACAGAAGGGAGGGAGAGUGCCAGUCAAAAGGGUUUCGUGAAGAAGGUUGCAUCUGACUGGGACAGUUAGGCCUCUGUGUACCACUUUAAAAGGUGUUGACUUUUCUAGUAAAUAUCCUCCAUGUCAAAGUCUAUCUCAAGAUCUGUUCCAGGACAACCCCGCCUGCAACAGGGCCCAUUUAUGUUCCAGCCAGCACGGUGAUCCUGAGUCUGGGAGGGUGCCCACAGACUGCUUUUGUGAGCAGCAUGCCUUCAGUGGCCAGUCCCCAAGCCCCUCAACUCCAUGUGGAGCAAGGACCAACCACCCCAUGGAGAAGAGGAACCCGCCUGCAAGGCGAGCCAAGAAGGGACCUUUGGAACCAGCCACACUGGACUCUGUAGGGGGCUGGAUGGCUGGCCCCAAAAGGAUAGGUCCAUGUCCUAAGCCCCAGAACCCGUAAAUAUUGCCUUAUUUGGAAAGAAAUUCUUUGUAGAUGUCAUUAGGGAUUUUGAGAUGAAGAGAUCAUCCUGUAUUAUGCAAGUGGGCCCUCAAUCCAAUGGCAAGUGUCCUUACAAGAGUAAGGCAGGGCUGGGUGUGGUGUCUCACACCUGUCAUCCCAGCACUUUGGGAGGCCAAGGCAGGAGAAUAGCUUGAGGCCAGGAGUUCAAGACUGGCCUGGGCAACGUAGUGAGACCCUCCAUCUCUACAAAAAAAAAAAAAAAAAACAGAAAAAAACCCCACAAAGAACUAGCCAGACGUGGUGGCACAUGCCUAUAGUCCUAGCUACUCAGGAGGCUGAAAUGGGAGGAUGGCUUGAGUCUGGGAGGCAGAGGUUGCAGUGAGCAGUGUUGCGCCACUGCACUACAGCCUGGACAACAGAGCAAGACCCUGUUUCAAAAAGAAAAAAAAGCGGGGGGAGUGAGGCUGAAGGAGAGACACACACCUAGAGAAGAAGGUGAUGUAAAGAUGCAAAAAUAGGGCCAGGCGCAGUGGCUUACGUCUGUAAUCCCAGCACUUUGGGAGGCUGAGGUGGGCGGAUCAUGAGAUCAAGAGAUCAAGACCAUCCUGGUCAACAUGGUGAAACCCCCUCUCUACUAAAAAUACAAAAAUUAUCUGGGUGUGGUGGCGGGC